rnacentral:misc_RNA from 1 species
UGAACAUCUCAAAAUCAUUUCGAUGGUUUAGGAAGGCUGGGCUUUUGUUGUGAGAAAUCAUCACGACUGGCCUGAAAUUUGUAUCAAGUACAAUGCAAGAAUCUUUGUAGAUGCUUUGUGGCUAAAGACGAAAAGCUAAUUAGUUGACUGCGGUCAAAUUUGCUAACUAGUCUUCAAAAACUUGGCAUGUCUACAUCCACA